UAACUGCUGUUAUCAAUCAGCACUCCUACUACUCUUAUUACAAAACUGGCUUGUCGGAGCACUAGUAUAAACUAUAAAGCAGGUCCGGUUUGAUUGGCGUCAAAAUUUCCGGCGAGUUUCAAGAUUCCCUCUCCUACCAACGUGAUCUAAGCUGCUCUGCCUGAUCCUGGAUUCCCGCGCCACCACGGGCCACUCUUACUUGCUCAAAUUCUGUUUGGUUACGUUUAUGGGACAUCCUUAGUUUGGUUCAGGGCAGCUUUCUACUUUCGGAAACUUUGGGUCUGCUUUCAUUCUCCGGCGGAACUUGCCGGCUGUUGGGACUUUCAGCGGCUGAACUGUGAUGGAUUUUUCGAGUUCUAGCGGAAUUCGGCUUUGUAUUGGCAUUUUCAGUUGUGUUUGGAUGGUGGGACAAAAUCUUUCAGCUGCGGAAGGUUUAUUUCUUUUUUGAAAGAGAAGGGAAGUUUUGUGAAACUUUAAGGACUAAGAAGAAAAAGAAAGAUUGAAUAGUGGUUUUUGUAGAUUGAGAAUUUGAAGAAAAGUUUUUUGGAUUCUUGGCAAAGUGGGAGUUUGUAUAAUGUCUUUGAAGAGUUUCAAAUUACUGUUUUUGCAGAGCAAAGCAGUUUCUUUUGUGGGAUUUCAGAGUCUUUUUUUGUCAAUUCUAAGAGAAUACGUUUUCUUCCAUUGCAGACUGAUUCCAGUUAAUAGUAUCUGAUUACUAGAAGAUUUUAAUUAGUUAGAUUGUGUAGAUUGGUGUUUGUGAAUCCAUUUUGCUGAAAAAUGAAGGCUCCAACAAAUGGUUAUCUUGCUAAUUCAGGAGAAGGAGAACGAAAGGCAAUAAAUUCUGAGUUAUGGCACGCUUGUGCUGGUCCACUGGUUUCCUUGCCUCCUGUUGGAAGUCUGGUGGUCUACUUUCCUCAGGGUCACAGUGAACAAGUUGCAGCAUCUAUGCAAAAGGAGACUGACAGCAUCCCCAGUUAUCCUAACCUGCCAUCGAAGUUAAUUUGCUUGCUGCAUAAUGUAACUCUACAUGCUGAUCCUGAAACUGACGAGGUCUAUGCACAGAUGACUCUUCAACCUGUAAAUAAAUAUGACCAGGAAGCGUUACUCCUAUCAGAUAUGGGCCUCAAGCAAAGCAGACAACCUGCUGAAUUUUUCUGCAAAACUCUUACAGCCAGUGAUACAAGCACACAUGGUGGAUUCUCUGUACCACGUCGAGCUGCUGAAAAGAUUUUUCCACCUUUAGACUUUUCAAUGCAACCACCUGCUCAGGAGCUAGUGGCUAGGGAUUUGCAUGACCAAACAUGGACAUUCAGACACAUAUAUCGAGGUCAACCAAAAAGACACCUAUUGACAACAGGGUGGAGUGUCUUUGUCAGCUCUAAAAGACUGGUGGCUGGUGAUUCAGUCCUAUUCAUAAGAGAUGAAAAGUCGCAGCUUUUAUUGGGUAUAAAGCGUGCUAAUAGACAGCUGCCUGCACUCUCAUCAUCAGUUAUAUCUAGCGAUAGCAUGCACAUUGGAAUUUUGGCUGCUGCAGCUCAUGCUGCUGCCAAUAGCAGCCCCUUUACUAUUUUUUACAAUCCAAGGGCUAGUCCUUCUGAAUUUGUAAUACCUUUUGCCAAAUAUAACAAAGCCAUGUAUGCACAAGUUUCCUUGGGAAUGAGAUUUAGAAUGAUGUUUGAGACUGAAGAGUCUGGAGUGCGUAGGUACAUGGGUACAAUUACUGGUAUUGCUGACUUGGAUCCAGUCCGCUGGAAAAGUUCACAGUGGAGAAAUCUUCAGGUUGGAUGGGAUGAGUCUACAGCUGGGGAACGUCCCAGUCGAGUUUCAAUUUGGGAAAUUGAACCUGUUGUGACUCCUUUCUAUAUAUGUCCACCCCCAUUUUUCAGACCCAAGUUUCCUAAACAUCCAGGCUUUCCAGAUGAUGAAUCUGACAUGGAAAGUGUGUUUAAGAGAGGCAUGCCCUGGCUUGGAGAUGAUCUUGGCCUCAAAGAUGCCACCAGCUCUGUAUUACCUGGCUUGAGUUUGGUCCAGUGGAUGAACAUGCAACAGAAUAACCAAUUAUCUGCUGCUCAGUCAGGAAUUUUUCCAAGCGCCUUAAAUGGUAAUUUGAGCACAGAAGAUCACUCGAAGCUGUUGAAUUUUCAAUCCCCUGCACUUGCUGCAACAAAUCUCCAAUUUGGGAAGACAAAUCAAUUCAAUCAGCAAACUAAUCAACUCCAGCAGACAUCUUUGGUGGGGACCCAACCACAACAGCUGCAGCAGUUGUUGCAUUCUUCUGUGAAUUCCCAGCAGCAACAACAUCCACAACAGCAUUCAAUCCAGCUUCGGCAGCAACCCCAACUACCACAGCAUCAGCAACAGUGUCCUCCACAUUUGCAGCAGCCGCAGCAGCUGCAGCAACAACAAAAUAUGAUGCCGUUGGCUUCUGUUAAUAAUGGUCCCUCUGUAGCAACCAGCCAGAUUCCAAAUCAGAAUUUGCAGCAGCCUGCAUUAUACUCCCAGCUUCAACAGCAACACUUACUGACAGGAAAUACACAACCACAGCAACCUGCCUCAUCUAACAAAAGUUCUUUAACAUCCUUACCCCAAGAUGUGCAGUAUCAGCAACUGGAACACCAGAAUAACCUAUUGCAGAAGACCCAGCAACAGCAGACACCUAUGCUUCAAGCUCCACUACAGACACUGCAGCAAAAUUUAAUCCAAAGACAGCAAGUACAACAGACAUCACAACAGAAUCUUUCAGAGCAGAACCUGCAACUCCAGCUACUCCAAAAAUUGCAGCAGCAACAGCAACAGCAACAGUUGUUGUCCCCGUUAAGCAAUCAUUUGGAGCCUCAGUUGCCCCAACAACAGCAGCCUCUUCAACAAAACCGACCGUUCCAGCAAGCACCAGUUGCUCAACAGCAACCCAGUGGCAACAGCUUUUCAACAUCUACGCUUCUGCAGUCACCACAACAUCCUGUUAACCAACUCCAAGGUCAGAACAAAUCACGUAUUUUUGUCAAAGCCUAUUCUGGACCAACAGAUGGAGAUGCUCCAUCAUGUUCAACAUCACCUUCAACAAAUAAUUGCCAUGUGUCCUCAUCAAAGUUCCCGAAUAGGAACCAACAAGGGCCAAUCACUCAGGCAGGAGAAUCGGUCAUUGAUCCUUCCCCUAUCCUGGUUCAUGAGCUUCAGAGCAGGUCUGAUGUCCGAGUAAAGCAUGAAUUAUCCGGCUCAAAGGGAGCAGAGCAACCUAAAUUCAGAAGCAAUACAGAACACUUGGAUGCAGCCUCAUCUGCUACAUCAUAUUGCUUGGAUACUGGUGGCAUCCAACAGAAUUUUCCACUGCCUGGCUUAUGUUUGGACAGUGAUGUCCAAUCGCAUUCUAGGAGCACUCUGCCUUUCACUUCCACUGUUGACUCAUUGGCGCCUGACGCUUUGUUAUCAAGGGGUUAUGACUCAGGAAAGGACAUCCAGAAUGUGCUUUCUAAUUAUGGUGGCAGCUCGAGGGAUAUUGAGACAGAGUUAUCUGCUGCUGGUUUUGGAGUUCCAAACAUGUCUUUUAAACCAGGCUGUUCAAAUGAUGUACCCAUUACUGAAGCUGGUGUCCUGAAUAGUGGCCUGUGGCCCAACCAAACUCAGCGCAUGCGAACGUACACAAAGGGGAGGGGUGGGAACUUGAACCCAAAACCUUUAACUCCUGAGGUUUCAACCUCAGCCACUAACCAAGGCCUCCUCUGCAAACAUUUUGCAGAAACCUGCUAUCAUGGUGCAUCACAAUAAACUAGAUCCACUAUUGUAGUGAUUAGCUCUGUUUCUUCUGUUAGACUUGCUCGCAGAGAUGCAACAAAGUGGUUCAGUUUAGGAUAUGCAACUUCUGCCCCUAUUGUUUAACUUAUUAUUUCAGAAAUAACAGUACCAUCUAAUACUGGUUGAAAAAUGGAAAAGGUUCAAAAACGUGGCUCUGUGGGAAGAACUAUUGAUGUCACGCGCUACAAGGGCUAUGAUGAGCUUAGGCAUGACCUAGCACGGAUGUUUGGAAUUGAGGGACAGCUAGAAGAUACACAAAGGAUUGAGUGGAAGCUUGUCUAUGUAGAUCAUGAAAAUGAUAUACUGCUCGUUGGUGAUGACCCAUGGGAGGAAUUUGUGAGCUGUGUCCAGAGCAUAAAGAUUCUUUCCUCUGCAGAAGUACAGCAAAUGAGUUUGGAUGGAGAUCUAGGCAAUCUACCUGUGCCGAACCAAGCUUGCAGUGGGACUGAUAGCGGUAAUGCAUGGAGAGGACACUAUGAUGACAACUCAGCCGCCUCAUUUAAUCGAUGAGAGCAUUCUGUAAUCCCAAAUGAAUGUAGACCUUCAGCUCUCAAGGCUCCUCGGCCUUUAGCAACUUGGAUCAAGCCUAACUCAUUUUAACCACUAAUGUCGAAGAAGGCUUACAAAUAGAGUAGCAAGUGACAACUAUAUCUGUGUGUUAGCCCCUGGCGCUUCGUAACUUGAAUUUGCCUUAGACACGGCUGAGAGUAAACUCAUGUUGGUGUGCUUGCUGCCUGCAGCUUCUAAGAGUUGAAAUUACUCUCCCGUGCCAGUUGGUUCAAGUCUGUACCCUCCUGCAAUUUAUACUGCGAAUUGUAAAGGCUUACUCUAGAAAAGAUCAGAUGAUGUAAAUCUCAUUUUCUGUAAUCAUUUUAAGUAGGUUGCUAAGGCGUCAAGCUUUUGAUAAUAUUUAGCUUGAUAUAGCCGCCCCAUAUUACAUUCUUGGAUGUUAUGAGGACUUUCCAAGAUAAGGCUGCAUAGCUUAAUUCACGGACUUUCGAACACCAAGUACAUCCUUUCUUUGAGAACAUCCUUCAGUGCAGACCUGUUUUGUCUUCAAGACUUCUA